rnacentral:misc_RNA from 1 species
AACUGAUACUACCUGCGGGAACCUGCGGAAGGAUCAUUACUGAGUUCUACAACUCCCACCCUAUGUGAACUUACUACAGUUGCCUCGGCGAGGUGCUAUACGCCUCGCCGGUGGACCAUUAAACUCUGAUUUAUUUACUGUAUCUCUGAAUUUAAUAACGAAAUACGUUAAAACUUUUAACAACGGAUCUCU